rnacentral:tRNA from 1 species
GCGUUGAUAGCUCAAACUAUAGAGCAUAGCACUGAAGAUGCUAAGGUAGCAUUUAUUGUUUCAAGGCA